rnacentral:rRNA from 1 species
UACGAAGGGUGCAAGCGUUAUUCGGAAUCAUUGGGCGUAAAGCGCGCGCAGGCGGAUUGAUAAGUCAGGUGUGAAAUCUCGAGGCUCAACCUCGAAACUGCGCCUGAAACUAUUAGUCUAGAGUGUCGGAGGGGGCAGGGGAAUUUCACGUGUAGGGGUAAAAUCCGUAGAGAUGUGAAGGAACACCGGAGGCGAAGGCAGCCCCCUGGGCCUGCACUGACGCUCAUGCACGAAAGCGUGGGGAGCAAACAGG